rnacentral:rRNA from 1 species
UACGGGGGGAGCAAGCGUUGUUCGGAUUUACUGGGCGUAAAGGGCGCGUAGGCGGUCGUGACAAGUCACUUGUGAAAUCUCCGGGCUCAACUCGGAACGGUCAAGUGAUACUGUCGGACUAGAGUACAGAAGGGGCAACUGGAAUUCUCGGUGUAGCGGUGAAAUGCGUAGAUGUCGAGAGGAACACCUGCGGCGAAGGCGGGUUGCUGGGCUGAUACUGACGCUGAGGCGCGAAAGCCAGGGGAGCGAACGGG